GAAAAUAGAACUGUUUAAAAGACAGGGCAUCUCGCGUGAGCCCAGACAUUGGCUGUGGGGUGAGUUGGCCGUGGCUUCUGGUAUUUCUGCAAAACAAAGCUCAGAUAGUGUCCUGGUGAUGAAUAUCAGUGUGCAGAUGUGUAGCAGAGCAGAGUGUGCGUGGAGACGAGGGUGUAGCAGGAAGGAACGUUGCUGAUGACGUAGCACAGCAAGUGAACAACGGAGGAAAUCAUUAAGGUUUUCAUAGGAACACAAGAAAAUAAUGAGACUCGCGGGAAGCCAACAGUUCUGCUUACCAACAGUGUCUUCAUGAUGCUGGUAACACUUCAACAACAUCGCCAAUAGAAGCAGCAAUCACGAGAGCACUGACACUCACCUGCCUACUGCGUCGUCAUAUUCAACCCUCCUCCUCCUCCUCCUCCUCCUCCUCCUCCUCGUCCUCCUCCUCCUCCUCCUCCUCCUCCUCCUCCUCCUCCUC